rnacentral:rRNA from 1 species
GACAGAGGUGCCAAGCGUUAUGCGGAAUCACUGGGCUUAAAGCGUGUGUAGGCGGAUUUGUAAGUACCUUGUGAAAUCCCACGGCUCAACCGUGGAACUGCUCGGUAUACUGCUUAUCUUGAGCCACUUAGGGGCUACCGGAACAAAUGGUGGAGCGGUGAAAUGCGUAGAUAUCUGGAGGAACACCGGUGGCGAAGGCGGCAUCCUGGACCAACACUGACGCUGAGGAGCGAAAGCUAGGGGAGCAAACGGG